rnacentral:lncRNA from 12 species
AUGGAAGAGAAAAUAAACAUGUUGGAGAAUGGCAAGUGGUACAUUUGUAGAAAUGGAUAAAACUGAACAAAGAAAGGAAUAAUAAAGGUAAAAAGAGAGAUAGAGUGAAUGCACAGGGUAUAUUUAAACAAAUAUAGAGAAUAUUAAGUGAAUCAUUCGUUAAACAAUACGUUCAAUGAGAUACUCCCAAUGUAGCAUUUUAGUAGAAGCUGUGUAUGUUGUUAAACUAUACAAAGCUGUGUUUGAACAAAUAAGUUAGCUGUAAUUAAGUUUUGAGAUAAAAUUAACCAGGAAAACAAAGUAAAAGAAAAAGUAGAACAUGAAGAUCCUUAGAUCCCUCCGUUUGAUAAACUUUCUGGAUAUUUAUCUUUAGCCAGAGUUCUCCAAAGUCCAGUUUUGCUCAAGAUGAUCCAUUGUGGAACAGAAAUAAUAUGCCAGAAUUUUUAUUUUUGUUUUUCUUUUUCUUGUAGAAUAAUCUAAAUUGUGUAAUCCAGAGCUAGAAUGACAGUUUAAUGUUGGUUGAAGAUUGGGAUUCAUUCUGUCUUGUUGCUCUGCCACUUUAUUUGCAUAAAGACCAUUCAGUGCCAAAUCUACCUUUUGGCCAUCGAGGAAAGGGGAUCUGAGGAAAAGAAGGGUACAAUCAGACAUCCCAAAGGCGGAGGCUGCCAAGAAAUGGGAGGAACAGAAGGCCCUAUCAAGAGGUGUCCUGCCAGGGAGAUGACAAGACAGAUAUAAUUUCAACACCAUCCUAAUUUGCUUUGCUGACCAGAAGGGGAAGACUCCAGCUUUCUCCAUCAACAAAAUCCUCCACAACUGAGAACUCUAUUUUAAAUCUUGUCAGCUGAAUUCUCCUCCCACUCCCCAUGCAGGCCUGUAUUUUCCAGGUGCAAAACACUACUUAAAUUUUGAAAACAUUUUGUAUAGGUUGGGGGAGGGUGAAGGAAGCAAGUAUGAAGAACUGCAACAAGCAGGGUUCUUUGAGAAUAAAGCUCUAUUGUUUUUUACCUUUAUGGAACA